UGGAGAGGAGGAGGUGGAG
rnacentral:misc_RNA from 1 species